rnacentral:rRNA from 1 species
GACGAACGCUGGCGGCGUGCCUAAUACAUGCAAGUCGAGCGGACGAUUCGAAAGCUUGCUUUUGAAUCGUUAGCGGCGGACGGGUGAGUAACACGUGGGCAACCUGCCCUGUAGACGGGGAUAACACCGAGAAAUCGGUGCUAAUACCGGAUAACACGAAAUGUCGCAUGACGUUUCGUUGAAAGGCGGCGCAAGCUGCCGCUACAGGAUGGGCCCGCGGCGCAUUAGCUAGUUGGUGAGGUAACGGCUCACCAAGGCGACGAUGCGUAGCCGACCUGAGAGGGUGAUCGGCCACACUGGGACUGAGACACGGCCCAGACUCCUACGGGAGGCAGCAGUAGGGAAUCUUCCGCAAUGGACGAAAGUCUGACGGAGCAACGCCGCGUGAGCGAAGAAGGCCUUCGGGUCGUAAAGCUCUGUUGUUAGGGAAGAACAAGUAACGUAGUGACUGACGUUACUAUGACGGUACCUAACGAGAAAGCCACGGCUAACUACGUG